GUUAGCGCUACUAGAAAGUUCUCUCUGUCAUAAUGCAGGAAUCCAGAACUUACAGGAAGUCUGAGCACUACUGAGACCGAAUUUUGGUCUUAAGUAAAGGAGUGUGGUUUUAGAUUUGUAGAACUUCUGAUUUCCAGUUUAUGGUAUCCACCAGGCUAGAGAAAUGUCCCUGCUUGGACUCUAUCUGGAAAAGAGAAAAGAUUUCCAUUUGUUUGGCGCCUGUUUUAGAAUGUAAUUUAGUCCUGAUGGGGAUCUUUUCUUGGAUGAAACAAGGUCCUCUCUUUUCUUUGCUUUAUCUGUGCCUUAGCUACAGGGUGGGUUUUGCUUCUGUGUCUGUAAGAGGCAGGAGACGGAUACAGAUUUAUAAUUAUCCUUACAGAGCUGCAGUAAAUGUGUGAGUUAUUCACUGUGCUCUAAAAAUGGACUGCCUGCAGCUCAUUCUGUCACUAGAGGGAGGAUUGCAUUGCUUUUCUCGAUCACCACUUUGUUCAUUUACAAAGCUCAGCAUUCCUGCACACGGACAGAGUGCAGGACCUUUUAGCUUUGCCCUGCAUUCCUAUCAAAGAAGACCCUGCCAGAACUGUGGCUUCAUAUUCUGGUAAGUAGGCCCUCCAGCACAGUGGCUGUGCACACAUCUGCACCCAGGCUGGAGGACUGCAGACAGACGGGGAGAGUCUGCUGAGCACAUGCCUGCAUCUUCAUGUCGCUUUCUUGCAAGAGGAGCAGAACAGGUGUGUCCAGAAACUCCUGGAUUCGGCUGAGGCUCCGGGACAGAGCGGUCAGAGUCCCAGGGCCACAGAUUUCCAGCUGGCCACUUGCAGACAGGGCAGGCCGUGCGUGUUGCCUCCUCAGUGAAAUGGAAUGAAAGCGAAAGCUGAGCAGAAUUAAUUACAUCCUCUCAUUGUGAACUGCCACUUCCAGCAGUAGAGAUAACAGGCAGACCUGGCUGCCCAGAGAGGACAGGCUGUGCUCCCAUUGCCAGCGGGGAGAAACGGAGACAGAGGUGCACUUCCUACUGCACUGUGACAGAUAUCCUACUGGGAGAUGGAGAUGGGAACUUGUUUGAAAAGGCAGCCCAGUAUGUGACCUCCUGUCACAGCCUGAGGAACAGUGAGUCUGUCUACCAGUAACGCUCCAUAUGUUUGUAUGUAAAUGUAUUAUACAGUAGGUGGGUAGCUGCGUCAGAAUGUGUAGGCUGCAAACACAACGUUU